AAAAAUUACAAGAAGGAAGUUUUGGGCUAAUCUCGCACUUCAAGAUUUCCUCUCUGCACCAGAAACUACGAACAUGUCUUCGAAGAUCAUGCUGAAACCUAAGGGGAAGAACACCAAGAAAGCUGAGGCGGCGGACGAGGACGACGGAGCAGUUGCGGCGGUGGGAAAGUUCGUGAAGGAGUGGGGGACAUGGUCAGCAAAGAAAGCUAAAGUUAUCACCCAUUAUGGUUUCAUCCCUCUUGUCAUCAUCAUUGGCAUGAAUUCUGAACCAAAACCCUCUCUUUCUCAGCUUCUUAGCCCCGUGUAAACCCCCUUUCUCAGAUAUCAAUCGAUUUGACUUCUAUUGGUAAUGGGUUGGUUUGGAUUUUUGUUUUGCUGGAUCACCCUGAUACUCAUCAAUUUUAUAUUUGUCGAGCUAAUUUUGGCUUUCGCUAUGUAUGGAUCAUUAUUUGCAGCCCUAUGUUAAAGUCCUUUUCUUGGUAAUAAUUGUUUGGGAAUUUAGGGUUUAGGCUUAGAUGUAAUAAAACUAUGUCUUGUUG
rnacentral:misc_RNA from 1 species